ensembl:lncRNA
GUUUAUGGUAUGACACCUGAAGCCAUGAGACAUGAUGACACAAAGGACAUCAAUGGCCUGGUGUGCAACAAGGGCAGGCAGGGAAGCCUGCAUGCUCAGCAGCUCUGGGGAAACUCACCAAGUACUCCACUCAGGAAGAUCCAGACCAGUUGUAGAGCCUCUCUGUGCCAGUCUCAGUAUUCAGUACAUCAGAGGCCUUGCCUCAUCACACUGUCGGGUCCCAUAGCUGCAGAGCUAGCUAUUUAAUGGGGGGUCAGGGGAUGGAAGGAAGAGGGGCAGGGGGUUUGGGUACCAUACAGGUUAGGAAACUAAUGGCAUCCCCAGACAACUGGAAUGGAGAUAUCUGGGGUGAUCCUGAUGAAGUGGCCCAGUGGAGAACAAUCCCUUGUUUCCUAUAAAUACAAAGCCAGAUCUGCCAUAGAAACAGAAAGAACCAUAGGACCCUGGGGCGGUCGGCCACAGUGUGCUCUGAGAAUUAUGCCCUGGCACCUGUUACCACUGACAGAUUUGUAAGGGCGAUAUAGGAGAGAACCAGACAAAAUGGGAACAGAAUAUUUGUGCUCACUAUGCUCGAGUAGUGGAGACUGUAUUAUAUCAAGUGAGGAUGAAGAAAAUGGCUACUGGGGCCCAGUGGUUUUCUUAAGCUCAGGUCCCAGCCUGGUAGAUGCACCUCACUCUAUCACUAGCCAUGUAGCUUAUUGGGCUGGAAAAAUAGACCCCACGGAGCAAGGUGAGCCCCUUGUGACCCACAUUUCAUCUUUAAGUGAGCUUCCCACAGCUACCACAAAACCUGCCUGCAUACAAGCCAUGCAAGAACAAGGGGCUCGUGGUGUUCCAUUAUCUGCUCCAAAGAUUUCACAGUGCUUAAACCACUAGCUAGAGGAGCCCCAGAAAUCCUUAAACCCCAUUGAGCUGCAAAAUAGAAUGAGAUCAAAAGGGACGCAUGUAAUUUAAAUACAUGACCUUAAACAAUACUCUGCAUGGGUGGAAUUAAUACACGGCACAGGAGACUCAGAGCAGACAUGGGGAGAGGACACAAAGACAUGAGUGGGGCAUGAGGACACAGAGAGAACACGGAGGGGGACACAGAGAGUACACAUCACAAAAUGGGCUAGGACAACAUGGUGGCAGACAAACCAAGUUUAGAGCCCCAGGUUGGAGAUUGUGAGACGAGAAUCAUGAAAGGGAACAGAGACUUAACAAGAAGGUAUUGAGCUUAAAAAGAAUUGCAAAGAAGAUCCAGAAAACACAGAAUCCCUUUAUGGAAAAGAGCACCAGCUCCAGGCAUUUCUGGAGUUGCAGUGCUCAGUAAGCCAGCCAGCAUUACCUUGGGGCUGAUUGAAGCACUCCAGAAAUGAGAUAAUAACAAAAGAAAGGAAUGUACGUCAGUCUCUCUAUUACCAGGUCAGAGAAAGGGAGAUAACCUCUUCACUUUUCUCAGAGAACAAUUGAAGGGCAUCACAAGGACAGGCAUAGCAGAUAUAGCUGCCCUAAACCAGCUUAGGAUCCCCUCAGAAAGGCAGAGAUCAAAACCCCUGCAAUAAAGAAAGAAUCACUUACUUCUUUCCCAGGACCAGGGCUCACCCAGCAACCUACAGGAAGCAGGCUCCAGAUAGAGACAAUGCCUCUGGGGCUGCCAGCCCUUACAUGAGGUUAGGGAGGGGUGGAGACAGGCUCAGCCCCAUCUGGAAUUCCUUCCACCUGUGCUUGCAGGGCUGGCUACACCCCUCACCAGGUGUUCCAUCACUGCUUCAGGCUGUGAUCUCAAAGUUCCCAUAAAGGCAAAAAAAAAAAAAAAAAAAAGCAAAAAAUUGGCCAGCUGGGUCUGCUUGUCCAAGGCAAGGAGGUUUAUCAAUGGACAAGUUAUGAUGGCCCACAUAUUUUGAUUCCAGUCUGUCCUCAAAGGCAAUUGGUGAAAUUUCUAAUAGACAGGGUAGCACAGAUUUCAAUACUGAUACAUCAAGAUGCUGAGAAGCUGCACGUGCAACAAAAGGGCUGAGAUUCCAGGUGUGAACAGAGUGAGUGCUGUCUGCCAAACUGCCUGGAUCAGCUUAUGGCUCUCCAGUGAGAAACGUGUCAUCUACUCACUUUGCAAUUGAAGACCACUGUGAAAAUAGUGUAGGAUUUAGUGUCCUCAGUGGGUGAACCUGGCACCUGCCUGUAUGGCAGCAUGUAGCCUUUUGACUCAAACAUCGAUCCCAAACCCCAAAGAAAUAGGGAGGCUGCAGAGUGUUUACUUUGUGCAGCCCCUGAGCUCCUCAAAUCAGAGAUCACUGACAUACUGCAGUACCCCAUUUCUGCUGUGGCACGACGUGGGAUUUCUGAAGUCACAACAGAUUUGCAGAAAAUCAUCUCCAGAAUGCACUCCCUGUACAACUUGCCCACAUGCAUGGGGGACAAGCCCCACUGUGGGGACAAUGACCCCCACUUGUUGGGUACUACUCCCACCCCACUGUCACAGCUGCACCCCGAGGACACCAUCACCCCACUGCACAUGGCCAUCAACUUCUCCCUGGACUCCACGCACCCCACAGGCAUCCCUGUCCCCAUUCUCUAGCCCACGGUGACAUCGGCAUGGAGCGAAGUGGGGCGGGGGACAUGGGGGGACUUGAGGGGACAUGUGGACAUCAGGGGAUGUGUGGGGACACAGGGACAUGUGGGGUCAGAACUACAGAGGUGAGAAGAGGUGACACAUGGAGGUGACACAGGGAGGCAGCAGGCCGCAUCAGGAGGUGCUGGUGCCAUUCAAGCAGCACUACGUGACAGAUGAGCACUGCCAGCCCAACCUGGAGGUCAUGGUGACACCCAGUGCCAUGCUGCUGCUGGGCGGCCACAUGGCCAACAUGACCACAGUGCUGACACUGUGCAACCGCGGUGAGGACACACACGGGACCACGGGUACCAUCUGGCACCCCUUGGGGAUGGUAUUCCACAGAGCCAGGGCCACCUCAGUGAGGGCACCUGUCCCUGGGUCCCUACAGUGUCCCCUGUGUUUGUACCCAUGUCCCAGUGUUUCCACAUUGCCCAGUGUUCCCCUAUUGUCCUCAAAGUCCCCCUCCAAAGUCCCCCCCAACAUCCCCAUGAUGUCCCUCUCCAUAUCCCCAUGUCCCGGUGUCCCCCACUCCUCACUUCCCCUAAUGUCCCCACAAGGUCCCCACUGUUCCCCGAUUAGUCCUGCCCCCACAUCCCCACACAGUGCUGGGCUGUCCCUGCAGGUGCCACUGGAGGUGACACACAGCCACUCAUGGGGUGCCAUGCUGCAGCACCCUUCUGCGAUUCUAUGAAUACUGAAUCCUAAACAUCGCUUUCCCAGCUCUUGGGCACCAUUUAAAAGCCAGUUCUGCAGGUGAGGGAGCUGAUGGCACAAAGAAGGUGGGCUCUCUGACCGUUGCAUGCUGGGACCAGCAAAGAUGAAUUCUGGAAGAGGUGCAGGGCAGCCCAGGGAUCCUCCUGACCAGAGCACUUGGUGAGUUUCCCCAGAGCUGCUGAGGGAAAAAAAAAAAAAAACACAGAAGGAGGAGAGGAGGGAGAAGGAGAGACGACGAGGAAAACCAAAGAAAACUGCUUAUGUAUACGUGCUUAUGAAUAUGUGUAAAUAAAUAAAUAAAUAACCAGCAACUUGAUGUUGUCAUGCUUUUUUAAAAAUAUAUAUUUUUUUUCAGCCUGCAUCUGAGGUGAUGAAAAAACAUGGUAUCAAUCGGACAGAUGUGUGCAGUGCAAGGAAGUAGAACAGAUGCCAACAUGCUUCCAGCUUUUUUCCCCUCUUUUUGCUCAAAGAUUUCAAACCACCCUUUUGCUUGCUCAGCCUCGUGGUGUCAAAGAGCUGCUUCUCAUGCUCCUUAGAAAGCCUUUCACAGUGAGAAAUGACCUCCUGCAAAGAACAGAGAGGGACAGAUCCCACGCUUAAAUAUUUCAGAACAAGCAAUACUGAAAAAAGUUGCACCUGAGAGGCCGCUUUUUUGCAUGUGGAGAAGUCAGAAGCCAGGCAUAUCUGGGGCUGACGAAGGGGAAUGUCAUUUGUUAGAGCAGUGAGUUCUCCAUUUUGUCCCCAAAUUCCUGAGUUUCCUGAGAAGCCCAGAAGGACUAAUUGCUUUUAGCAGUGAUUACUAUCAGAGCCGGAAGCACCCUGAAGAUGUUUGAAAAUGCCUUUCUUUCUAAACUGGGCUGUUUUCUAUUUUGCUGCCUCACUGUCUCCACAUCCUCUGUGAAUGAUGGAACUUUUUGCUGCCCGCAUCAGCCCAAGAGUUGGAGCCUCCUUCAGAACUGAACUUUACUGCCACAGUUCAGAUUUCACACUGGGUCAAGCCUAGUGCCACACUGUUCAAGACCAAAGGAAACGGUGACCACAACUUCAGCUUGAACGAAAAAAGGCACCACCGCAUCAGUGAUGCUGUUGUUCUUUUGUGAAAUUAAUCAUCAGCCAAGUGACAGAGGGGGCUUCCAUCAGCCAACAAACACCAAGCGGCCUGAAAAAUUAAGGUGUGCAAGUUCAUGACUAAUGAAACCACAAGUGAACAACAGAACAGUUCUCAAAGCCUUCCACCAUUCAAUCUGCUGUCUUCACUGGGUCAGUGCAGUUUGGUGUGGAGUUUCUUUUCUGCUCUUUUGUUAGUUUUUAAAAUGCUUCAGAUCUUGUCUCUUCUUCUUCUAUAACCCUCCUUCUAGGGAUACAUACUAAGGAAGUGGAACAGAGUACCAGCUUACUGGGAGGAAAACCUGCAAGCUCGGGGGAAUAUUUUCCAGCGAGUCAGAGCAACUGAGACCCAAGGCCAGGAGCUCUUUGUGCUAACUGCCCCUGGCCUCAAUUCAUUCUGUUGGCCUCCCAGCAGUGCAUUUCCUAGCUGUGAACCCAGGAGGCCUUCCGCAAACCCGGGCAGCAUUCGGUUCAUUUGGGUUUGGGCUCUGGACCCACCACUUGGACCCCACCAAGGGAAUCGCCUGCCCCCCAAAUCUGACCCCCCACACACAACCUGCUUCUAUGCUCCUGUGCCCCGGAGAGAGAUCUAAGGCACAAAGAUGCCAUAAGGCACAUUAAUGAGCUCUGGGAAAAACAGAGCAUUCCACACUACUUAAUGACCAUAUACUUGAGUCUACGCAUUGCUCUGACCUAUUUGAGCAACAAGCAGUCAGGCAGCAAGUUGGGUUCCAGGACAUUCCGGAACGCUCAGCUUGCCUGCUGUUGUCACGGAGAGCCAGAAAGCUGUCCUUGCAGUCCUUGUACUGCCUGGGAGCAACACUGCACUGCCACCUGUAUUUAGCAGGCAAUGCAAUACCAAUGGGACUGCCCAACAUGUGCAGGGCAGCACUGCUGUCACACUACCAGAAUUUUAGGGCCACUACAAUGAUCCUUAGCAUUCUGUUAGCACUGAGGUUAGAGUCACCCUUAGGACUGAGAAUACCGUCAGCGUUACUUUUACAGUGACUUCUCUGGGUCAUUUUCAGGGGUUCUUCAGGGUGAUGGCUGGUACAAUUAUUUUCGGGUCAUUAGCCUAUGAUAAACGUUACUUUUAGGGUGAAGAUCGGUUACUUCAACGACUGUUCUUUGGAUUAUGAUCAGGGUUAAGGUUCCUUUUGCUACAAACUUUGAGCAUGAUUUUUAUUGUUACAUUUAGAGUCAGAGAUGAUUUUAGCGUCAGGAUAAGGGUUAGUACUAGAGUUACACUGUGUGUUAAUACAGUUAUCUUUACAGUUCCUAUGUGGCUUGGAGUCCGGGUCAAGGUUUAAUUUAAAGCUACAUCCCAGCCAAUGAGGCCCCCAGCUGAUAUUCGCUUCUAUGCUCUAGGGCCCCAGAAAAAGGCCCUGGGCACAAAGCGAACUAAUGCAAGCCGACUGGAUAACUCUCUCGUGGAGCAGCAGUGCUCAAGGAUUUGAUAUUCACAAAGGAAGCACAACACCUGAGUAACACAGAGGAAGGCAGUGGGAAUAACAGGGCAAAGCAAGGUGGAAACAUGGGGAAAGCAAGGGAAAGGCAGGAGGAAAUGAACACGCAGCCAAGAAGGUGCCCUACCACGUCGUAACGAGCUCCGGAAGCACUACAUUAUGCCACGCGGUGAAAUAGGGAAAGAUUUGCAUACAUGCAUGGUCCUUACCUGCUUGGGCAGUCACCUAAGUUGGGUUCCGGGGCAUUCCUGGAUAUGCAGCUCUCCACUGCUGAGCAGCAUCUGGUCAAGGACCGCCAGGUGAUCGGAGGGUGGUGUUUUUCCCCUAUCAGUCUGACACAGUGCGUUUCCCUGCUCGCUUCCCACUGUUACAGUAUUCCUACCGUCUCUGAACAGAGCCGUCGAGCGGUCCCACGCCUCCCUCCCCACCCCACAUCCUACAUCCCCCGCCAACCGACAGCGCCGCGGCUCUCUGCUGCUCUCCGGCGGUCGCUGUGUGGUACUGCAGGCACUGCCCGCGCGCGUGGUGUAUGGGAGCGCCUCUGACGUGGGCACGCGCCGAACAACAUGGCCGCGCCCUGCGGGAGUGGCUCCUUACCUGCAGCGCGUGGCGAGGUGGCUGGAGCCGUGAGGCACCGCCACGUGAAGGAGCUCGGUGGUCGGGGGUGGGACGGGACGGGACAGACGGAAAAGCCCAUUCAGUAGCUCCUAGGGAAGUUGGCAGGGCACCGCUUGGGGUGACCGCGGAGUCGCUCCGUGCCGGUCCCGGGAGGCUGCAGUGCCGGAGCCGCUCCGCGCCGGUUCUGCAACCGCGAAUCUCCGAGCCGCUCGCGUUCCACGGUGGUCGAGAGUGCUUGCAAACGGAUGAGGGACGUUGCAGGGCGGAGGGGUGGAAGGGGACGCCUGCUAGUCCACCGCGGCGACGAACUAAUUGGAUGCUCGUCCAAAAGCCGUGCGUUCUGUACAUCAUCGAGCGCAUGCGUGUUGCCGACUUGAGGACUUCUCACCAUAAAGAUUGGCGGAUUGGCUGCGCAGAGUGGUCAAAACUCAGAUUCGCCACUUCCGCAUCCAGGCGUCUUGCAGUCGGCGGCAGCAAACAAUAUACGCUGCCACAGUUCCACCGAUUGGCCACGCGGGGGCACCAGAGACGGCGGAAACAACUUCCCUAACCGGAUUGACCGGAUCGCCGGGGACUGCGGCGCGGAUCAGGUUCUCUUUUGAUGGCAGAAGAAAAAAAACACAACUAUGAGAGGAAGGGGGAGAGAAGAGGAGACGACGAAGAAAAACAAGGAAAACUUCGACAAACCCACCAAACCCGUGCUGAGUGCUUAUGAAUAUCUGUAAAUAAAUAAAUAAAUGUCCAGCAAACUGAUGUUGUCAUGCGUUUUUAAAUUUUUUUUUUUUUUUCAGCCAGCAUCUGAGGUGAUGAAAAAACAUGGUAUCAAUCAGACAGAUGCGUGCAGUGAAGCCAAGGAUGGCAUGGGAUGAUUAACAGAGCAACGCAAAACAGCCGUGCAACUCUUAGAAGAAACAUCAUAGUAACAGCUUCCAUACCUGGCCUCGCCACUAUGACAUUCCAUCCGGCCCACUCAAGGCUUGUAAAUAUCCACUGGAUCGGUUUGGAUAUCAAGCGAUUUGACAUAAAUUCUCUCAUUCACAACCAGUGCAGGACCUGACACUUGGCCCUAUUGAAACUCAUACAGUUUACCUUGGCCCAUCAAUCUAGUCUAUUUAGGUCCCUCUGUAUUUCCUUUCUCCCCUCUGGCAUACCAACACUCCCUCCCAGCUUGGUAUCACCUGUAAACUGCAUAUGAGGGUACACUCAAUCCCCUUAUCAAGAACGUUAAUAAAGACGUUAAAUAGAAGCAGCCAAAGGUAGGCAGAGAUCUCCAGCAAGAGAUGCCCUCACCUUCCCCUGCCAACCCUUAAAUGAGGGCUGGGAAGGGGUGGAUCCUGGCUCCACCCCUUCCAGUCACUGAGUGAUACACUGCUUGCACCUGAGCUCCCCUGGGUUGGCCCUGCCUUCUCAUCAGGUGCCCAAUCACUGUUUCAGGCUGUGUCUUAGUAUUUCCACUACACAUACUUCAUAUUGUCCUAUUUCCAAAACACCAGAUAAGAUGCUGACAUGAUAGGUGAACAUUUCUCAGAUGUGCUUUUUCUCUCUGCCGUUCUGCUUGAGUUUAUUGCUCAUAUAUCACAAAGAGAAGUAACAUAUACAAAGAUAUUCUUCAGGAGAAGGAAAUGCCUUUCAAUAAUCUGCAAAAUGAGGAGAAGAUAUCUAAUUAUGUGGCAACUCUUUAUGUUGAAGAAAACUACCCAGUAAGUGUGCACAUGGAGAGCAACUGACAAGUACAAGUUUCAAACAAAAUUAAGGGAUUUCAUGCCUGGAUGUGAGUGACCACUGGAACUUGCUUCUUCAGAAAAAAAAUCAAAUCAGGAGUCAAAUUCCUGACAAACGAGGUAGCCUCAACAGCAAGCCUGAAGCUUCACAAUCAGGUUCUUGUUGGACAGCCACAAAUGCUCUUGGUUGUAUGCCACAGUGACUCCAAACGUUGUGCUCUGGAUUAGCGUUAUGGUAUGAAAAAGAGCCAGGAAGAGAGAACAGAGAUGCUAGAAAUUGGAUGUCACACAGUGGUUUAUGUAUUGUUCUCAAGAGGAACUUAAAAGAUGCCUUUCAGUAAACAGCAACACCACAGUCCUGUACCCCUUCACCAACAGAAUAAAUUUUGUAAAAUAAGACAGAGGUUUUGACAUGCAAAGGUAGGCGUUACGCAGCAAAAUAAGUUUAAAAGCUUGUUAACAGUACUAUUGUGGUGAAACACUAUCUCUUGAAGUUGUAAUAAGGACUGAAAUGGUGGCAGCUUCAUCUUUAGAGAAAAAGAGCAUAUACUCUAUCUGUAUAUCUUGCCAUGAUGACUGUGUCAUCUUGCACAAAUUCAGCCGGUGCAUCCCAUCCUCCCUCUUUGGUCUGCUAGUUGCGAUAACAAUGACAGCCUCAUCUCACCCAGAGUUUCACCCAUUCACUGCCAUUGCCUUCCAAAAGCAGAAACUGCAGCAUGUUGAAAAAAGACAUGUGUCUUCCCAUAUACAAAUGUUACAAUAAGGAAAUACAUUCACAGAGGUGCCUUCCUCCAAGCAAAAGAAGGAAUGCCUGAGACCCCCAGGGGUUCUACAAGUGUAGAACUUUAACUGUUAACUUCUUAUUUCCCCAUUUUUUUUUUAAAGUAAAUACUUUAGUUUACAAGGCAGCCUCAAUUUCCUGUAAUGCAAGAUUCCAACAGGAAGACACCCAUAAUGCAAAAGACUUCUCCCCAGAGGCUUUUUUUUCUCCCUGGUUUCCAUUCUAUGUGCAUUAAUCUUGAAUUUAUUGCACUAAUAGUUAGUUAUUUGAGGUUCACCUGUUGCCAUCUUUCCUCUCUUUACUUCUGCCAACUCUUGCUGCUUUUUCUCCACAUUCUGGAGUGACUGGAGUGAUCAGAUCACUGCUCAAAAACCAGACAGAAUGUUUGGAAAUAUCUGGCAAGUAAUACAGAACAUAGGAGACAAAACUAUAUACUUCAAUUACUCUACAUUCAUCCUGCAUCAGAGAAUGGCAGAGUCGUUUAGGUUAGAAGGGAUCUCUGGAAGUCAUCUGGCCAAACCCCUGCUCAAGCAGGGACACACUGAAUCCUGUGGAUAGUGCAGGCCUCUACUUAUCAGAAACAACAAAGGAGUAUGACACAAGGUAUGGGAAAGGAUGACAGGAGGUACAAACCACUCACUGUACAAAACGGACUCUGCUUUUUCAACCACAAAGAGCACAGAGAAGGGGAAGCCAAGUUCUGCAGCUAUCACAGAACCUUUAUUAUUCUUCACCUUAUGCAACAAGUCUUAAUAGCCAUCAAAUUAAAUUAUGAAGCAGCGAGUUUAAGCACACAGAAGUCUCUACUUCCUGCAGCACCUGGAUAUGCUAAUACUCACUUUUCAGCCAAAUACCAUGAAUGCUGUAACCUUGCCCAACUCCGUAAGUCAUUUGGAUAGAGUUACACAGAGUGCACAAAGACAGGCUCCAGCUCAUGAAAUUUAUUAGCCACAGGUCACAACUGCUGGAAGAAUAUUCCAGGACUACCUCUGACAACAGACCAGAGACUGGAUUUCUUUUGAUCAAUUACUACAGUUUUCUUAGCAAAUUUUGUCAACAUUUGCUCACUUAUUAGCUAUUCCAUUUUAACGCUGACACAUUAAAAAAAAAAAAAAAAAAAAAAGAUCUCUGUAUGUUCAUUUUACGGCACUACAGAUCUCUGGCAUGUUACAGCCACAGCUGCAACUCCUCAGGUGGCCUGGUUUUGUUCACAAAAUGCCCUCAUCCUUGAGAAGAACGUCAGAAUUACAGAAAGCUUCUGCCAUUAAAUUCAAUGACUCAUAGCCGCUUUCCAGUUCACUUGAGUACAUCUGGAGUUUCUUACCUUCUCAAGUUUACACAAUAAUAAGAAUCACAGCCAAGACCUUCAAUCAAUAGAAUCAACCAAAAUGCUACUGUGCUGUAGUUUUUCUUGAACUUUAUGUCAGAAUUCUGACAGUGUAUGAACUGCCAUCAGAAGUGCUAGAACUAAACUCAGUCAUUACAGAGUGUUUGUCUUCCAAUUCACAGCUGCAACCAAAAUUGCUUUAACAGUUGCAUUUCACAACUUUUAUCUCUAGUAGCAUUUCCAGAACACAACAAGGCACAAAGCAACAGGCCACAUAGCGCACGAGGGGAAGGUGGGUUCUUUAGAAUCACCAGAGCUGACUUACAGUCCUUUAUUUCCAAAGGAAAAGUGACUGAAAAAUCUAUUCGUCUAGAAAGAUCCUGAGGCCGAGCAGUGCCAUUAAAGAGCAAAGCAACCACCUAGACAAGGACUGUCCACGUUUCCCCACGUUUCACAGCAGCUUAUGGAAAGGCUCUACAGAAGAAAAACCUGGCUGAACGUGGGCAAUGGCCUCUUCAGCACUCCUCGGGUUAAACUGUACCGUACCUAUUUCUGACGGACGUAUACAAAGCGACACAGCCCCUAUGAAAGAAACUGCAGCGGAACACGGAGCGAGAGAAGGUCAGAGGCCCGCCCUCAGCCGCAGCUCCCCCGGGCUGGGCCGCUCUGUGCGGGCGUCCGAACGGCUCCGGGCCUACCGCUGGGCCCUGGGCGAAGCAGAUGCUGCCCAAACCGAGAGCCGCCCAUGGCCCGUUCAGGGUCCGCUGCACGUGAGGAACCAGCCGAGUCACCCCUGAGGUGAGGGCGGAACCGUGCCGAGGCGGCUGCAGCUCUCAAGCCGGCGGACUCCCGGAAGAUCCGUCGCGUAGUCCCGGGAGGGUGGAAGCAGGAAGUACCAUUUUUGGGCCUCGGAAGUACCAUAAAAGGUGAGGAGGAAAUGCCAAAUAUGGUGGUCCUGGUUCCGGCCGCCGCUGGAGGAGCGUUUCC